rnacentral:lncRNA from 1 species
CACCUGUUAACCCGUAACUCGGCAUCAGAACUCGCCGUCCCAAGCUCCAACCCAUCUGUUUCUUCUUCGUCGUGUGCCUUUCCACGCGAAUUCGUACGAGGAAAAUUUGAGAACCCUCUAGAAACAUGCUUAGGUAUCUCCCUUUAAUGGAUAUCUCCAUGAAUCGUGGAUUACUUGUACAAAUUCAUACGUAUUUGGCAAAUUUUUGUUGGUUCUUGGAGAAAGGAUCCAUUUUCCCCCCAAUUUCUAUUGUCUUUUCUUGGAGAAUCUGUGGAGGAUAAAAGAAAAGGAGUACAUUUGUUGGUGAAACCCUAAGCAGGAGGGAAAAAAUUCGAAUUUCAAAUCCAAAGAUAUCCUCUCUUUCAAGUCCCCAAAAAACCCCCAAUUCGGGUUCUAUAUAAAGACCCUUGGGGUCACUAUUUCGAAGGGUAUUUUCUCUUCUUUCAGGGAAUUUUUGGUUCGAAAGAGGGGGAAAAGAAGAAAUCUGGGGUACGGAAAAAUUUUGGUUGGGAGAAAAGAGGAGAGGCAGAAAAUUCUGAAAGCAAAAUAGUUUAUUUUUAGUGAAAAUUUACUCUUUUGUUCUUUUUUCUGAAGUUGGUCGAUUGAUCGGAAGCCCUUAAGUUGAUAACGCGGAUUUCCAGUGGUGGCGGAUUCCGACAACUAACUCGUUCUCCCCUUUUGCUGCCCUGAGAGAGGUAAAUAUCCUCAUUCCUCAUUUAAUUUUAUCGGCAUGUUUGUUCUUCAUCUUUUUUCUCUGUAGCGAUGAUUAUUUGGUUGAAUGAUGAACAUGAGGUCUAUUGUCGAAGCAAUGGUCUUUGUUUGAAUGAUGAACAUGAAGUUUGUUGUGGGGGCUGUGUAGUCUUCAUUGAACGAUAAAAGUGAAGGUCGGUUUGGAUGGUUGGCUGUAGAGGCUGUUGUAUGAUAAUAAUAGUAGUGAUGUUGUGUGUUCGUUGUAGAGGCCUUAAAGGCCAUAGUUUUUUUUUCUUUAGCAAAGAAGAACAUUCAGUUGUGUUAUUACGCUAGGCUAUUUCUUAUUUGAAUCUUAUGAUAUGUAGUUUCUGUCAUUAUUAUCCCGAUUUUAGAGCUCGUCAUCUAAUUUUGACAUUAUCAAGAAGUUUGCGAUCUGGAUCUUCAUCUUGUGUGCUGUCUUUACCUUUUUUCAUGGUCAAAAUUCAUGUCUUGAUUCGUGUUUAACACUUCUGCUUGACGUUUUGUCUUGUUUGGAGUGGAUAUAUAAUGUUUCUUGUCUAUUGUUAGUGUUGAGACACUGUCGUAACUAUUGAGCAGAUAGCGUCAUCGAUAGGACUACCUCUUGAGGUCCUUUGGAUUCUCAAAUGCCAAAAGGAUGAUGAGAAAACGUCCAACAGUAAAAUUAGAAAAAUCCCAUGAUUCUCCGAUGACCAUGUGACUGUCAAAAACUCAUUCUUGUGUUUGUCAGGAAGGAGAGAAGGAUAGAAAUACUAUGCCCCACCGCUUUGUUUUUAGCCUAUUGAUUGUACUCUUUCUGUUGAAGCUUUUGAAGUGUAAUUGUAUGUUAAAGAAUGCUGAAUCUGGGAACAAAUUUAAUCUCUUGUUAUACGUUUAAUGUCAAAAAUCGAUGAAGUUUAUACCCUCUUUUUCUUUGAGCAUGAUUCGUAUCACUUCCUACCUAGGUAAUGGUUUCGCGGUCUAAAACUUUUAAAGUUUUUGCAAGAUCAUGUUUUACGGAAUACUAGUGAUCGCCUUCAUCUAUAAGGACUAUUAUAGACCGACGAUCCAGACUUUCUGUGGCAUGGUGUUCGCAUUAGUAUUAAGCUUGUUGCUCCGAUCCGCAAAGAAUUUCGCUAAAAAUGUUCCUGUUGUUUUGUCCUCAUCACUAUCUUUAGCUAGUUUGGGAUUUAUUUUUUUUGGAUUAAAACUGUUUGGUUAAGCUGUAUUAUGAAAGAAUUAAUGACCAGAUUUAAGGUUCUUUCACUAGUGUUAUGAAAGAAUUAUUGUCCAGGUUUCUUUGGAUCAAAACUGCUUAAAUUACAUCAACUUGUGUUUCUUUAUGUUUAGGUAAUUGCUAUAUUAGAGAUACUGUUUCCUCCUUAUUUUAGUCAUCAAAGAUGUCUUUAUUUGUGUUAGUUUUAUUUACGAAAUUUUGGCCUAGAUGUGACAAUGAAUGCUAAAUUUUUCUCAUGUCUUCUGUCAACCUAUAGGACAACCUUGAGCAUGAAAAUAAUCUUUUUAAUUGCUAUUUGCAGCUUACGAUGAUGUAUGAUUAGUUAUACCAAUUCCAAACGGUCUAGUGCAGAGUCUUAAUCCUUUUCCCUUUAUUUUUGGAUGCAUGUGAAUGUGUUACGUCUGAGUUCACCAUGAACUCUCAAUUGCAUUUUACUCAUCGAUUCAAUCCCUAGCGGGAGACCAAAUAUCGACCUCGUGGCAUAUCUAAACCAAGGAGUCGAAAGAAGAAGAAAUGGGUUAAAGUCCACAUUUGAAGCGGCCAAGAGACUUGAAAGUCUCGGUUUCCAUUUCAUUCAUUUAUUUAGUCAUUUAUUAUUGUUGUAUUUAUUUAUUUAGUUAUUUAUUAUUUAUUUAUUUAUUUAUUUAUUUAUUUUUAUUCAUUCAUUUGGGCCUCCAAGCCAAAGUUGUAAAUUUAAUACAGGUGGAGCGAGACUCGAGCCAACGACUCAAAAACUAGAUUAGGACAGGUGAAAUGGGUCGAAGGCCCAAUUAGACUAGGACGGGUUUGUUGGUUUGGGCCAAUGGCCUAAAUCCCUUACUUUCUCCCUUUCCCCCUGUUCUUUAUGUUUGUUUUUCUUAUGUGCUUUGCGAACCUAGUUAAAUCCUUAGUUAAGUCGGUAAAAAACUGGUUUUGCAUAAACACCAAAAUAUUUUUAAAAUCGCUUUCUUUCCAAAAAAUCAAUCACUUUUUGACAAAAUUAAUCUUUUUGAAGUUAAUCAAAAGACGAUUUUCAAACAGUCCAGAUAACCACAAGUUAGCGGACGUUUUAGGUGUCUAACACCUUCCUAAAAUGUUAAUAGGAACCACUUACUUAGAAUUUCUACCUUAAACGAUUUUCCUGUUUUGGAUCGUUCAAAGUAUUUUAUAAAGGUUUCUUAAUUCCUUUUCAAAAUUAAGUGGCGACUCUCAAAAGUCAAAAAAAAUUCGCAAAACAGAAAUGGCGACUUUGCUGGGGAGUUUUAACUAGGUUUUAACCAAAUGUUUGAUUUCGUCUUUUGAUUAACUAUUUAUAUGUUUCGAUUCUCUAAAGUUUAACUAUCGCAUCUCAUGGCAUAUUCCUGCAUUAUUUAAACUGUUUUGGUGUUUUGUGGAUGUCCCAGCCCCUAUUGUUCAAUUUCAAUAAUGUGUUGGAAAUAUGAACAAAUUAUUAGCAACUGAUUCAUCUAAUGGUUGUUCAUAUUUUCAAACUCAAGUUGUCCGCUUGAGAACCAGUGGUCAAAUCCAAUCUAGACACCUAGGAUAGAACGAAACCAAAAUCCUAUUUUAGGCAUGAGCCUAGGAUGAAUCAAUACCCGAGCGAUGUAUUGGGCCCAUUAGAAAACUUGUCCUACGUCUACUGACUCCGAAUCAAUUAUAGACUAACCAUAUUUAUGUGUUGAAGAAAAUAUAUGCUUGUCUAAUUCAAUCCAUUAUUCUUUAGGGGUCAGGAAAAAGCUUGAUUUGCUUACCUUCGUAAGAAGAAUUGAAGCAAGCUAAGCAAGAAAUUGAUCAAUUUGGGAGGUUGCAUCUAAGGCACAAUUUGAACGUCAACGGAUGUCACCAAUAUAAGAAAUGGACGAAGCUAAGAAGGCGAAGGCUAAUAGAAAAAGAACCCAGGAGUUAGUAUUUUCUAUCCCCUGUGUGGGAACGUGUCUUUUUUCAUGUUAUUUCCCUUUCCCUAAAGAUUGUAUCCCUCUUUUGUAGGCAUUUAUGCCCUUUUAAUGUCUAUAAAAGUUGGGGGAUAAUGGAUUGACC